rnacentral:rRNA from 1 species
ACAGAGGUGGCAAGCGUUGUUCGGAAUUACUGGGCGUAAAGGGCGCGUAGGCGGCCAUCUAAGUCAGACGUGAAAUCCCCCGGCUUAACCUGGGAACUGCGUCUGAUACUGGACGGCUUGAGUAUGGGAGAGGGAUGUAGAAUUCCAGGUGUAGCGGUGAAAUGCGUAGAUAUCGGGAGGAACACCUGUGGCGAAAGCGGCGCACUGGACCACAACUGACGCUGAUGCGCGAAAGCUAGGGGAGCAAACAGGA